CAGGGUGAAGAGAUAACACUUCGUUUUCUGGAUUUCGAUCUGUAUCCGAAGAAAUGCAACGACUUAGUUGAGGUUCAGUCUUUGCGAGGUGGCAAUGACGUCUUUUGCGCAUCGAAAGUGGAUGGCAAAGUCAAGAAAUAUGAUGGGCCAAUUUAUAUCAAGUUCCGGUCUUCGAAACGGCGAGAGAAUGUGAAUAAAGGAUUUAACUGCAAAGUUACUAUCAAGUCUUCAAAGAAGAGUUUGCCAAAUAUUUUAUCAAAGUUUUAUGAAGAGUAAAAUAUCCUAAUUUUACUCUUUUUAAAACACAUUCCAAGGACUUCAAAUGACACACCCAAAAGUACUAGACACACUACGCCAUCAUGCAUUCACUAUUCAACAAUAAAUUAAACACUGAACAAAAUUACACUAAAUCAUGAAAAUAAAGGUGUAAUAUACAAGUACACAUAAAAUAAUAACAUGGCAAAAAAAUAAAAUAAAAUAGAGUAAUGUAAUUUAAUCAUAUUUAAUCAAAUAUUUACAAGCACUUUUUUCUUUAGUUUUUUUAACUCACAUUUGUUUUGAACGUGUUAGAGAAGUAUAAUCUCAUUGUGGAAAGAUAAAGCGUAUUAAUAUUUUGAGUGAACUGGCAACUUGCUUUAGGACGUACUGUUUAUCCUGAAUUCAUUGGAAUGAUGCAGCCCCCAUCUCUGUGUAACUAGCAAUGGCACAUACUUGGAACAUUGUAAACAAAGUGAAAACAAUAAAAUUUCUAAAUUGGCCGUAA